UGUGGCUGGGGGUGAAAGGCCAAUCAAACCGGGAGAUAGCUGGUUCUCCCCGAAAUCUAUUUAGGUAGAGCCUUGAGCGGACACCUUCGGGGGUAGAGCACUGUUUCGGCUAGGGGUCCAUCCCGGAUUACCAACCCGAUGCAAACUACGAAUACCGAAGAGUGAUACUCAGGAGACACACGGCGGGUGCUAACGUCCGUCGUGGAGAGGGAAACAACCCAGACCGCCAGCUAAGGUCCCAAAGUCUAUAUUAAGUGGGAAACGAAGUGGGAAGGCUUAGACAGCUAGGAUGUUGGCUUAGAAGCAGCCAUCAUUUAAAGAAAGCGUAAUAGCUCACUAGUCGAGUCGGCCUGCGCGGAAGAUGUAACGGGGCUCAAAUAUAGCACCGAAGCUGCGGCAUCAGACGAAAGUCUGUUGGGUAGGGGAGCGUUCUGUAAGCGGAUGAAGGUGAAUCGAGAGGUUUGCUGGACGUAUCAGAAGUGCGAAUGCUGACAUAAGUAACGAUAAAACGGGUGAAAAACCCGUUCGCCGGAAGACCAAGGGUUCCUGUCCAACGUUAAUCGGGGCAGGGUGAGUCGGCCCCUAAGGCGAGGCUGAAAAGCGUAGUCGAUGGGAAACGGGUUAAUAUUCCCGUACUUGGAUAAACUGCGAUGUGGGGACGGAGCAGGUUAGGUUAUCGCACUGUUGGAUAUGUGCGUUUAAGUUUGUAGGUGGGAAGUUUAGGCAAAUCCGGACUUCUAUUCAACACUGAGAGAUGAUGACGAGGCUCUACGGAGCUGAAGUAACCGAUACCACACUUCCAGGAAAAGCCACUAAGCUUCAGGUUUAUCUAAACCGUACUGAAAACCGACACAGGUGGUCAGGUAGAGAAUACUCAGGCGCUUGAGAGAACUCGGGUGAAGGAACUAGGCAAAAUAGCACCGUAACUUCGGGAGAAGGUGCGCCGGCGUAGAUUGUAGUCCCUUGCGGAUGAAGGUUGAACCGGUCGAAGAUACCAGCUGGCUGCAACUGUUUAUUAAAAACACAGCACUCUGCAAACACGAAAGUGGACGUAUAGGGUGUGAUGCCUGCCCGGUGCUGGAAGGUUAAUUGAUGGUGUAAUCGAAAGAGAAGCUCCUGAUCGAAGCCCCAGUAAACGGCGGCCGUAACUAUAACGGUCCUAAGGUAGCGAAAUUCCUUGUCGGGUAAGUUCCGACCUGCACGAAUGGCGUAAUGAUGGCCAGGCUGUCUCCACCCGAGACUCAGUGAAAUUGAAAUCGCCGUGAAGAUGCGGUGUACCCGCGGCUAGACGGAAAGACCCCGUGAACCUUUACUAUAGCUUGACACUGAACAUUGAAUUUUGAUGUGUAGGAUAGGUGGGAGCCUUUGAAGCAGUCACGCCAGUGAUUGUGGAGGCGUCCUUGAAAUACCACCCUUUAACGUUUGAUGUUCUAACGAAGAUUACGAAACGUGGUCUCGGACAGUGUCUGGUGGGUAGUUUGACUGGGGCGGUCUCCUCCCAAAGAGUAACGGAGGAGCACGAAGGUUGGCUAAUCCUGGUCGGACAUCAGGAGGUUAGUGCAAUGGCAUAAGCCAGCUUGACUGCGAGCGUGACGGCGCGAGCAGGUGCGAAAGCAGGUCAUAGUGAUCCGGUGGUUCUGAAUGGAAGGGCCAUCGCUCAACGGAUAAAAGGUACUCCGGGGAUAACAGGCUGAUACCGCCCAAGAGUUCAUAUCGACGGCGGUGUUUGGCACCUCGAUGUCGGCUCAUCACAUCCUGGGGCUGAAGUAGGUCCCAAGGGUAUGGCUGUUCGCCAUUUAAAGUGGUACGCGAGCUGGGUUUAGAACGUCGUGAGACAGUUCGGUCCCUAUCUGCCGUGGGCGCUGGAGAACUGAGGGGGGCUGCUCCUAGUACGAGAGGACCGGAGUGGACGCAUCACUGGUGUUCGGGUUGUCAUGCCAAUGGCACUGCCCGGUAGCUAAAUGCGGAAGAGAUAAGUGCUGAAAGCAUCUAAGCACGAAACUUGCCCCGAGAUGAGUUCUCCCUGACUCCUUGAGAGUCCUGAAGGAACGUUGAAGACGACGACGUUGAUAGGCCGGGUGUGUAAGCGCAGCGAUGCGUUGAGCUAACCGGUACUAAUGAACCGUGAGGCUUAACCUU
rnacentral:rRNA from 1 species